rnacentral:sRNA from 1 species
CGCCAGCGCGGACGGGUGUGACCGGUGGCGCGCUGGGGAAAUCCGCACCACGGGGAUGGGACCUGAGAAGCGGACGCGCUAGCGAAGCUAGAGGCGCGGGACCCGAAACAGUCUGGCGGAG